UCAGUCGACUCCUACGGGGAGGCAGCAGUGGGGGAAUAUUGCACAAUGGGGGUAAACCCUGAUGCAGCCAUGCCGCGUGUGUGAAGAAGGCCUUCGGGUUGUAAAGCACUUUCAGUAGGGAGGAAGGUAGUGUAGUUAACACCUGCAUUAUUUGACGUUACCUACAGAAGAAGCACCGGCUAACUCCGUGCCAGCAGCCGCGGUAAUACGGGAGGGUGCGAGCGUUAAUCGGAAUUACUGGGCGUAAAGCGCAUGCAGGCGGCCUGUUAAGUCAGAUGUGAAAGACCCGGGGCUUAACCUCGGAAUUGCAUUUGUAAACUGGCAGGCUAGAGUCUUGUAGAGGGGGGUAGGAAUUUCAGGUGUAGCGGUGAAAUGCGUAGAGAUCUGAAGGAAUACCAGUGGCGAAGGCGGCCCCCUGGACAAAGACUGACGCUCAGAUGCGAAAGCGUGGGGAGCAAACAGGAUUAGAUACCCUGGUAG
rnacentral:rRNA from 1 species